AUAUUGACACUUCAUUUCAGCAAAUGGAUAUGAAAUUCAACACCCAAAAUAUUCACAAGUCGAUAAUUGAUUUUGGACUAAGAUAGUUUGGUGCAAUAUAAUGGACAUUAAGAAAGAGGUUUCUCAUGAAAAUAAAGUACACAAUGGUGAGAAGUUUGAAAAAGAUCAAAACAUAUCUUGCAGGUUUGAAAAAUGUUUGGUCUGCAAAGGGAAGCACCCUCAAAUUGAUUCUCAAAAAUCUAACAAGCCACCAAGAGCAAGGAAUGACAAAAGCUCCUGGAAAUCCAAAAUCUCGGUCAGCCUCAAAUGUCAAUGCAUACUUAAUACAUGUGAUGCCAUUAAGCUUGUUCUGGAUACGUUUCCCAUGAUUCAGGUACACUCCUUGACGCAGCUUUCCUUUCCCCGUACCUAUCCAAAUGGAAGAAGGAACAGAAGCAAGUCUAUUGUAAGUGAUAGCAAAAACUAGUUGUCAUAGUUAUACAUAUAUCAAGUUAGCUCACAUGAGUCAUUGAGACUAUAUAAUUGAAUACAAAUAGGUUUUGCAAGGCCUGAUUUUGCAUGAGUAUGUUGUAUAAUGAUUUCUCCUUUAAUGGACUCCACAUGUUUCGUGCUUUCAGACAGUUGAGCCUUGA